rnacentral:piRNA from 1 species
AUUUUGAAUGACAACAAUGAGCCAGG